GACGAACGCUGGCGGCGUGCCUAAUGCAUGCAAGUCGAACGAGGCGCCGUCGGGUGCUGUGUUGCGAACGGAGCGGGAAAAGGGGGGGACCUGUGUGAGAGUGGGGGAUAACAGAGCGAAAGCGCUGCUAAUCACGGAUACGCACAGAGGAGAAAAGCUGAAAGGCGCUCGCGGGUGGCCCAGCGGCCCAUUUGGUUGCUGGUGGGGUAACGGCCUACCAAGCCAAUGACGGGGCGCUGGUAUGUGAGGACGACCAGCCAGACUGGGACUGGAGCACGGCCCAGACUCCUACGGGAGGCGGGAGCAAGGAAUUUUCAGCAAUGCGCGCUGGGCUGACCGAGCAACGCCGCGUGCAGGAAGUCGGCCUUCGGGUUGUAAACUGCUUUUGCUAGGGAUGAUGACUGACCGUACCUGGCUAAUCAGCCCCGGCUAACUCUGUG
rnacentral:rRNA from 1 species